AUUGAACGCUGGCGGCGUGCCUAAUACAUGCAAGUCGAGCGAAGCGGGGACGGGUGAGUAACACGUGGAUAACCUCCUAUAAGACUGGGAUAACUUCGGGAAACCGGAGCUAAACCGGAAAAUGAGAGAUGGAUCCGCGCUGCAGUAGCUAGUUGGUAAGGUAACGGCUGACCAAGGCAACGAGGCAUAGCCGACCUGAGAGGGUGAUCGGCAACACUGGAACUAGGACACGGUCCAGACUCCUACGUGAGGCAGCAGUAGGGAAUCUUCCGAAAUGGGCGAAAGCCUGACGUGGCAACGCCGCGUGAGUGAUGAAGGUCUUCGGAUCGUAAAGCUCUGUUAUUAGGGAAGCGGUACCUAAUCAGAAAGCACCGGCUAACUACGUGCCAGCAGCCGCGAUAAUAC
rnacentral:rRNA from 1 species